rnacentral:misc_RNA from 1 species
CCUAUUCUCAAGUUGGGAACGAUGUGCAAGUGUAUGAGCUUCAAAACAAGGUUUAUGAUAUGAAACAGGGUGAUCUAACUAUUGCUCAAUAUUAUGCAAAAUUGAGUGGUCUAUAACAAGAACUGGACUUUUACCACGACUUUCAGGUCUCAUGUCCUGAAGAUGCAGUUGCUUGAGAAAAAGCGGAUCUAUGAUUUUCUUGCUG